AACGAACGCUGGCGGCAGGCUUAACACAUGCAAGUCGAACGCCCCGCAGGGGGAGUGGCAGACGGGUGAGUAACGCGUGGGAAUCUACCUAGUUCUACGGAACAACAGUUGGAAACGACUGCUAAUACCGUAUACGCCCUACGGGGGAAAGAUUUAUCGGAAUUAGAUGAGCCCGCGUAAGAUUAGCUAGUUGGUGGGGUAAUGGCCUACCAAGGCGACGAUCUUUAGCUGGUCUGAGAGGAUGAUCAGCCACACUGGGACUGAGACACGGCCCAGACUCCUACGGGAGGCAGCAGUGGGGAAUAUUGGACAAUGGGCGCAAGCCUGAUCCAGCCAUGCCGCGUGAGUGAUGAAGGCCUUAGGGUUGUAAAGCUCUUUCACCGAUGAAGACAAUGACGGUAGUCGGAGAAGAAGCCCCGGCUAACUUCGUGCCAGCCGCCGCGGUAA
rnacentral:rRNA from 1 species